rnacentral:tRNA from 1 species
GCCAGCAUGGCGUAGUGGUUAGAGUGUUAGAUUGUGACUCUGGAGAUCAGGGUUCGAUUCCUACUUAGCC